GGGGCUGUGGGCUCUGCAGGGCACAGGCCCCGCUCCCUCAGCCGGGACCCAGCUCACGGAGGAGAUCACAGCGCAGAGCAAGGGAAGGUGCCGGCCCUCACAACCCAGCUGGCGGGCGGCAGCGCCGAGAGAAGCUUUUCCUUCCCUGUUGAUGACAUCGGGACUAAACCAGCCCGAGUUCCUUGUGCAGCACAAACGAACCAUUACUGACGACGUGCAGAAGCUUUUUCUUUAGGCUGCGAAGUGCUUCCCUAGUGUUCCCCAAGCUCUUAGAAAUUACUGCCAUGAAUGCUCCAGUGCCUUCCCCCAUUAUCUUUGCAAUCCUGCUUCUUCCUCACGAAAAGGCAAAAAGCACAGCACAUAAGCACUUCAGCCACGCUGGGGAGGAAAACGAUACAGGCAAAGACGUAUCAGCUCAUCUACUGCAGAGAAGCUACUGGCAGGUUUUGCUGCUCUCAAAGUUCGUUCAUCCAGCCUACAGAGGCCAUAAUCCAGGACUGGAAAAUGGAUUUGUCACUGUUGCUGUGCACCAGUGAAUUCACUUGCUUCGCUUCCAAUGUAACAACACGACCAUCUCACUGUGGUGUAAUUAAUCCAUGAAAAGCUGUUGCAACACGAAUGACACUCAAAAUCAGCACGCACAAAUAUUGUCAUUAAGUUCAUUUAGAAAAAUAAACGGCCUAUGAUUUCA